rnacentral:rRNA from 1 species
GAGGAAUAUUGGUCAAUGGGCGAGAGCCUGAACCAGCCAAGUAGCGUGAAGGAUGACUGCCCUAUGGGUUGUAAACUUCUUUUAUAAAGGAAUAAAGUCGGGUAUGCAUACCCGUUUGCAUGUACUUUAUGAAUAAGGAUCGGCUAACUCCGUGCCAGCAGCCGCGGUAAUACGGAGGAUCCGAGCGUUAUCCGGAUUUAUUGGGUUUAAAGGGAGCGUAGAUGGAUGUUUAAGUCAGUUGUGAAAGUUUGCGGCUCAACCGUAAAAUUGCAGUUGAUACUGGAUAUCUUGAGUGCAGUUGAGGCAGGCGGAAUUCGUGGUGUAGCGGUGAAAUGCUUAGAUAUCACGAAGAACUCCGAUUGCGAAGGCAGCCUGCUAAGCUGCAACUGACAUUGAGGCUCGAAAGUGUGGGUAUCAAACAGGAUUAGAUACCCUGGUAGUCCACACGGUAAACGAUGAAUACUCGCUGUUUGCGAUAUACGGCAAGCGGCCAAGCGAAAGCGUUAAGUAUUCCACCUGGGGAGUACGCCGGCAACGGUGAAACUCAAAGGAAUUGACGGGGGCCCGCACAAGCGGAGGAACAUGUGGUUUAAUUCGAUGAUACGCGAGGAACCUUACCCGGGCUUAAAUUGCAGAUGAAUUACGGUGAAAGCCGUAAGCCGCAAGGCAUCUGUGAAGGUGCUGCAUGGUUGUCGUCAGCUCGUGCCGUGAGGUGUCGGCUUAAGUGCCAUAACGAGCGCAACCCUUGUUGUCAGUUACUAACAGGUUCCGCUGAGGACUCUGACAAGACUGCCAUCGUAAGAUGUGAGGAAGGUGGGGAUGACGUCAAAUCAGCACGGCCCUUACGUCCGGGGCUACACACGUGUUACAAUGGGGGGUACAGAGGGCCGCUACCACGCGAGUGGAUGCCAAUCCCCAAAACCUCUCUCAGUUCGGACUGGAGUCUGCAACCCGACUCCACGAAGCUGGAUUCGCUAGUAAUCGCGCAUCAGCCACGGCGCGGUGAAUACGUUCCCG